UAAUAGGCUUAUCCAGGAAAUGUUACAGUC
rnacentral:piRNA from 1 species